AUUGAACGCUGGCGGCAGGCCUAACACAUGCAAGUCGAGCGGAUGAAGGGAGAUUGCUCCUGGAUUCAGCGGCGGACGGGUGAGUAAUGCCUAGGAAUCUGCCUGGUUGCGGGGGCUAACGUCCGGAAACGGGCGCUAAUACCGCAUACGUCCAGAGGGAGAAAGGGGGGGAUCUUCGGACCUCACGCUCUCAGAUGAGCCUAGGUCGGAUUAGCUAGUUGGUGGGGUAAAGGCCUACCAAGGCGACGAUCCGUAACUGGUCUGAGAGGAUGAUCAGCCACACUGGAACUGAGACACGGUCCAGACUCCUACGGGAGGCAGCAGUGGGGAAUAUUGGACAAUGGGCGAAAGCCUGAUCCAGCCAUGCCGCGUGUGUGAAGAAGGUCUUCGGAUUGUAAAGCACUUUAAGUUGGGAGGAAGGGCAGUAAGUUAAUACCUCGCUGUUUUGACGUUACCAACAGAAUAAGCACCGGCUAACUUCGUG
rnacentral:rRNA from 1 species